rnacentral:rRNA from 1 species
CCUANGGGUGGCUUCAGUAACGGAUCUUCCGCAAUGGGCGCAAGCCUGACGGAGCGACGCCGCGUGCAGGAGGAAGCCCUUCGGGGUGUAAACUGCUGUCAGGGGUAAGCAAGCGACCCGGGUGAACAAUCCGGGAAGUUGAGCUAUCCCAGAGGAAGCCACGGCUAACUCUGUGCCAGCAGCCGCGGUAAUACAGAGGUGGCGAGCGUUGUUCGGAAUCACUGGGCUUAAAGGGUGCGCAGGCGGUCGGAAGGGUGUCUUGUGAAAUCCCUCGGCUUAACCGAGGAAUUGCGGGGCAAACCGUCCGACUUGAGGCAGGUAGGGGUUGAUGGAACUCUGGGUGGAGCGGUGAAAUGCGUAGAUAUCCAGGGGAACGCCAAUGGCGAAAGCAGUCAACUGGGCCUGUCCUGACGCUGAGGCACGAAAGCCAGGGGAGCAAACGGGAUUAGAUACCCUANUANUC